ACACAUGCUUACACAACGUUUUGUUACUGCAUUUAGACAACUCAAUAUGUCAUGAGAUUUAUGUAUUUUAGCUGCUCACCGUAUAUCCUUAUAUUUGCAACAAAGGGGAAAUAAAAGGAAUUUUUUUUGUUCUUUAUCUUAUACGGUCCUUCAACGUUCCAAAGAACUUCAAUUUCUCUUUCUACUUUAUUUUGUGCACUGCCUGGGUUCUCCAUCUUUAUUGCUUAGUAGAUCAAAAUGACAAAGACUCUAGAAUCAAGUUAUUUCCACCAUUUGUACCAUAAAUGUGCUAUGCCUUGCAACAUCAUUAAAUCCAUUUGCUUUGCAAUGCAUCGAUCACAGCAAAAAAAAUGCCUAGGCAAUAGAUAAUGAUCCUUCCAGGAACAUUGGUUCCGAGCCUUCAAAAAACAGCAAGCUUGAUACUGACAGUGUUGGAUUUACCAAGUUGUAAGUAAGGGACUGUUUAAAAUUCUAAAAUGGCUAAAUCCCCUUUUAAUAUUUUAAAAAUUACAUGUCAAAUAUUUUUAAAUCACUGAAAUCUUUAUAACAGAUUUCUAAUGGUUCGAAAUUGGUGUGCAGCACAUGUCUGAUUGAAGCUACAUAGAUCCUCAGUGGCUAAAAGAUUAAGGAUGCCUUAAGGUCGAGAAUUUUUUCAAAUGGAGACAUGAAGUGGAGCGCAUGUAUGAGUCUUUGAUUCAAACACUUAAGACGAAGCUGUCAAAGACUACAUAUCUGUGCCCUUGAGUAGCAUUUCCUCUGCGAGUUGCUAUUUCCCAUAUUUGCAGAUGUUCAUGCGCAGGAGAAAAAUAAAUAGCAAUUGUGUCAUGCUUAACAUGUUGCCUAAUUACAUGAAUCAAAAAAAUUUCUUGACUGAUGAGUAUGGCAAAUACUGGAAAAACGUUGCAUGUGAAGCAUUUUUCUUUUGAUAGCAUGAGAAAUGCUCCAUCAUCUGUUUUUUUUCAUGCACCUGCAGUAUGAAAGAAUGUACUUCUAUAUCUAAAGUUCUCUAAUAAAUAUAAGUAAUAUAUUUGUAUGUGUUA